rnacentral:rRNA from 1 species
GACGAACGCUGGCGGCGUGCUUAACACAUGCAAGUCGAACGGAAAGGCCCUUCGGGGUACUCGAGUGGCGAACGGGUGAGUAACACGUGGGUGAUCUGCCCUGCACUUUGGGAUAAGCCUGGGAAACUGGGUCUAAUACCGAAUAGGACCACGCGCUUCAUGGUGUGUGGUGGAAAGCUUUUGCGGUGUGGGAUGGGCCCGCGGCCUAUCAGCUUGUUGGUGGGGUAAUGGCCUACCAAGGCGACGACGGGUAGCCGGCCUGAGAGGGUGACCGGCCACACUGGGACUGAGAUACGGCCCAGACUCCUACGGGAGGCAGCAGUGGGGAAUAUUGCACAAUGGGCGCAAGCCUGAUGCAGCGACACCGCGUGAGGGAUGACGGCCUUCGGGUUGUAAACCUCUUUCAAUAGGGACGAAGCGCAAGUGACGGUACCUAUAGAAGAAGCACCGGCCAACUACGUG